CAUCUUUUCAGCUGUCUUCAGCGCAUAACGAGCCGUGCAGUUGUGAAAGGACACUAUAAAUAGCUCCUGCUGGUUCAGAGAGAAUCUGAGCCUCCGGGGAAAAUGCAUUUAGACGAAUCACAUCUUACGCUCGCGGAGGAAACAAUGACGGGAAUGUUUUAAAUGGCCUCAACCUUUGUAAGAAUGAGUAAACACCUAGAAAAACUGGCGGCGCUCGCAAACGCUGACACCGGAGUGAAAUAUGGGCGCUUCAGGGUUUGUCGCAGUUAAGAAUCAGUGGAAAAUACCAAAUUAUGCUGCACUAAGGCGAAGCCGUGGCCGUGAAUUAUUGACAUUUUAGGUGGUGUGACGUCUUUUUAAUGGCAUUUUAAGAUCACUCGCUCGUGACUGUUUAUAUGUGAGAGCAUUCUGAACGGCUCAGUGUCUCAGACGCGGCCGCGCAGGUUCAUGGAAUCAAGUGGGCGUCCUCAGACUACGCUCCUACGCACCACCGAAGAAGAACGUCUCGUGCUGUGACGUCACACCGACCCGCGGCGGUUGCAGACAAGAGGGGCCCGCGUCGACGCUCACAGCGGCUGUGAGCACAAGCAGCGGCGAGGUCGCUGCCCCGGAGACCGCGGGAGCGAGCGCGGCACGGCGUGUUCCUCCGCGGGGCCAGAGAUCAGGACGCGCCGGUCCGCGCGCUUGUACUCGGCGGCGGACGCCGAGGACCGGGAGCCGGUGACAUCACACGGGGCCGCUCGCGGUGACUCACACACGGAUGGCCUUUGUCGACCCCUCUUGGAAGGGCCCAUUUCACCCUGCAGGCCAGUCAGCAGCUCCACUGGAGCAGCUAAGGCUCUUUAGCAACAUGUCAGGAAGCUGCAGUGAAGCUAAGAAAGCUGACCAGAGGAGUCGGUGAGUGAAGCUCGAAAAAAGUCCAAUGUUCAUUUUCCAAAUCAGAGCUUAGGUUUUGUUUAUGUUUUACAAAAAGGGGGGGAAGGCUACGUGUCAUUUUCUAUCUAGACGAGUAGCACUCUAGGUUUUGGAAAUCCAUUUUCAAGAGGCAUUUCUCAAUUUCCUCCCAUUCAAAGUGUGUUGAAUGGGAGAAAAUGUGUCUUUUACAUAAAAUUGCUCAGUGGAUAUAACGUAUUGGUAAAACAUAAAAAAGCAUAUAUCAAACUGGAGCUCUAUUUCAGAGGCAAACUGGCCUCAGCACACAACAGCCCCAGAAUGGGCUGGAUGAAACAGUCCUAUCAGUCACUUGUCUUGGCAGCGCGGCACUGAACAAGCAUAAUAAGAAGAGCAUUAAUACGCCGGUGCACAGAACGAAGCUGAGCAUCAAACACAACACCUUCCACCCGCCUCCGUGCUGGACUGAUGCAACGCCGAGCAGUUGUGUGUUCAGCUCCCAAACAGCCCCAGCCUCUGUCUUGCUCUAUUAGCGCAGUGAGCCCUGCACACCGGCUCAGGUUUAUGAGUGCGAUUUAGCAGUUUUACAAGCGCAUAGACUUUUGAUGAUGGUUUUGAUGAUGGCCGGUGUCCUCUGUCUGGCCUUGAACGUGUACUCCAGCUUUUAAAGAGAUAAUUCAACUAGUUAUUU
rnacentral:lncRNA from 1 species